CACACACACACACACACACACACACACUGUGUGACAGAAACCCAGUAAACGUUGUCAUGGAUUCUGGCCUGAGGCACAAAUGUCAUGAUGUCAAUCAUCCGUUCAUCUCAUGCAUGUCUGCUGAGGAGGACGACGACUUAUUCUCAAGGUUGAUGAUCUUCAUUUAACGGCAAAUCGUGCAAGAAGAUCAGCCUGUGUGUGUGUCUGCCUCCCCCCCGGCCCUCCCUCCCUCCCUCCCUCCCUCCCUCCCUCCCUCCCUCACCUCCCCCGGCCACCUGCAGGCUCUUCGUAUCAUCCUCCACAGCCUGGACCAGCGGGCGGGCGUGUACCAGCGGUACAUCCAGCCGCUGCUGUGCGUCAGCGUGGACUUCUACAUCCGCGUCUUUGUGCGCGUCUUCACAGGACAGGCCACAGUCAAGAACUCAUGCAGUAAGCAGGCUCUGGUUUACAACUGCGUGGGCUGCGGCUCGUUCCACCUGCAGAGGAUGGGACGGAGGACGAGCAACGGCAAGAACGUCAAGUACUCUCCCGCCAUCGGGCCUCCGGUUGGACCAGAGUGUCAGCACUGUGGGCAGAGACACCAGCUGGGCGGUCCCAUCUGGGCGGAGCCUAUCCACGACCUGCCGUUCGUCCAGAAGGUUUUGUCGGCCGUGUCGGGGAACCCGUCCCGCUUCGGGACGUCCAAGCGCAUCGAGGGCGUGCUGAGCAUGGUGACGGAGGUACUGUCCCUGGCA
ensembl:lncRNA